rnacentral:rRNA from 1 species
GAGGGGCAUCGGGGCGAGGAGCAAUCCUUGCCGCCGGCGACCGGCGCACGGGUGAGUAACGCGUAUGCGACCUGCCCGUUGCAGGGGGAUAAUCGGGAGAAAUCCCGUCUAAUACCGCGUAACGCCGCGGGGCUGCAUGGCCCUGCGGCCAAAGGAAGCGAUUCCGGCAACGGAUGGGCAUGCGUGACAUUAGCUAGUUGGCGGGGCAACGGCCCACCAAGGCGACGAUGUCUAGGGGUUCUGAGAGGAAGGUCCCCCACACUGGUACUGAGACACGGACCAGACUCCUACGGGAGGCAGCAGUGAGGAAUAUUGGUCAAUGGGCGCGAGCCUGAACCAGCCAAGUCGCGUGAGGGAUGACGGCCCUACGGGUUGUAAACCUCUUUUGUCGGGGAGCAAAUUCCGCCACGUGUGGCGGAGUCGAGAGUACCCGAAGAAAAAGCAUCGGCUAACUCCGUGCCAGCAGCCGCGGUAAUACGGAGGAUGCGAGCGUUAUCCGGAUUUAUUGGGUUUAAAGGGUGCGUAGGCGGACUGUCAAGUCAGCGGUAAAAUACGGGGGCUCAACCUCCGCCCGCCGUUGAAACUGACGGUCUUGAGUGGGCGAGAAGUAUGCGGAAUGCGUGGUGUAGCGGUGAAAUGCAUAGAUAUCACGCAGAACUCCGAUUGCGAAGGCAGCAUACCGGCGCCCAACUGACGCUGAAGCACGAAAGCGUGGGUAUCGAACAGGAUUAGAUACCCUGGUAGUCCACGCAGUAAACGAUGAAUACUAGCUGUCCGGGGCGAAUGAGCCCUGGGUGGCACAGCGAAAGCGUUAAGUAUUCCACCUGGGGAGUACGCCGGCAACGGUGAAACUCAAAGGAAUUGACGGGGGCCCGCACAAGCGGAGGAACAUGUGGUUUAAUUCGAUGAUACGCGAGGAACCUUACCCGGGCUCAAACGACAUAGGAACGUACCUGAAAGGGUUCGGCUCUACGGAGCUUGUGUCGAGGUGCUGCAUGGUUGUCGUCAGCUCGUGCCGUGAGGUGUCGGCUUAAGUGCCAUAACGAGCGCAACCCCCAUCGACAGUUGCUAACAGGUCAGGCUGAGGACUCUGUCGAGACUGCCGGCGCAAGCUGCGAGGAAGGCGGGGAUGACGUCAAAUCAGCACGGCCCUUACGUCCGGGGCGACACACGUGUUACAAUGGCAGGUACAGCGGGAAGCCACCUGGCGACAGGGAGCGGAACCCGAAAGCCUGUCUCAGUUCGGAUUGGAGUCUGCAACCCGACUCCAUGAAGCUGGAUUCGCUAGUAAUCGCGCAUCAGCCACGGCGCGGUGAAUACGUUCCCGGGC